AUUGAACGCUGGCGGCAGGCUUAACACAUGCAAGUCGGGCGGGGUGAUGGUGCUUGCACUAUCACUUAGCGGCGGACGGGUGAGUAAUGCUUAGGAACCUCCCUAUUAGUGGGGGACAACAUCUCGAAAGGGAUGCUAAUACCGCAUACGUCCUACGGGAGAAAGCAGGGGAUAACUUGUGACCUUGCGCUAAUAGAUGAGCCAAGUCGGGUUAGCUAGUUGGUGGGGUAAAGGCCUACCAAGGCGACGAUCUGUAGCGGGUCUGAGAGGAUGAUCCGCCACACUGGGACUGAGACACGGCCCAGACUCCUACGGGAGGCAGCAGUGGGGAAUAUUGGACAAUGGGGGGAACCCUGAUCCAGCCAUGCCGCGUGUGUGAAGAAGGCCUUAUGGUUGUAAAGCACUUUAAGCGAGGAGGAGGCUCUUUUGGUUAAUACCCAAGAUGAGUGGACGUUACUCGCAGAAUAAGCACCGGCUAACUCUGUGCCAGCCGCCGCAGUAA
rnacentral:rRNA from 1 species